rnacentral:rRNA from 1 species
AUUGAACGCUGGCGGCAUGCUUUACACAUGCAAGUCGAACGGUAACAGGCCUUCGGGUGCUGACGAGUGGCGAACGGGUGAGUAAUGCAUCGGAACGUGCCCAGAGGUGGGGGAUAACGCAGCGAAAGCUGUGCUAAUACCGCAUGUGAUCUGAGGAUGAAAGCGGGGGACCAGGCAGCAAUGUUUGGCCUCGCGCCUUUGGAGCGGCCGAUGUCAGAUUAGGUAGUUGGUGGGGUAAAGGCCUACCAAGCCGACGAUCUGUAGCUGGUCUGAGAGGACGACCAGCCACACUGGGACUGAGACACGGCCCAGACUCCUACGGGAGGCAGCAGUGGGGAAUUUUGGACAAUGGGCGCAAGCCUGAUCCAGCAAUGCCGCGUGCGGGAAGAAGGCGUUCGGGUUGUAAACCGCUUUUGUACGGAACGAAAAGGCUCUGGCUAAUACCUGGGGCUGAUGACGGUACCGUAAGAAUAAGCACCGGCUAACUACGUG